rnacentral:rRNA from 1 species
UUCCGUAGGUGAACCUGCGGAGGGAUCAUUACCGAGUUUACAACUCCCAAACCCCUGUGAACAUACCACUUGUUGCCUCGGCGGAUCAGCCCGCUCCCGGUAAAACGGGACGGCCCGCCAGAGGACCCCUAAACUCUGUUUCUAUAUGUAACUUCUGAGUAAAACCAUAAAUAAAUCAAAACUUUCAACAACGGAUCUCUUGGUUCUGGCAUCGAUGAAGAACGCAGCAAAAUGCGAUAAGUAAUGUGAAUUGCAGAAUUCAGUGAAUCAUCGAAUCUUUGAACGCACAUUGCGCCCGCCAGUAUUCUGGCGGGCAUGCCUGUUCGAGCGUCAUUUCAACCCUCAAGCACAGCUUGGUGUUGGGACUCGCGUUAAUUCGCGUUCCUCAAAUUGAUUGGCGGUCACGUCGAGCUUCCAUAGCGUAGUAGUAAAACCCUCGUUACUGGUAAUCGUCGCGGCCACGCCGUUAAACCCCAACUUCUGAAUGUGACCUCGGAUCAGG